CCAGUGACAUCACGUUUAACGGCCGCGGUAUCCUAACCGUGCGAAGGUAGCGCAAUCAAUUGUCCCAUAAAUUGAGACUAGUAUGAAUGGCUAAACGAGGUCUUAACUGUCUCCUCCAGGUAAUCAGUGAAAUUGAUCUCCCUGUGUAAAAGCAGGAAUAACUACAUUAGACAAGAAGACCCUGUGGAACUUUAAAAUCAGCAGUCACCUCUACACACACACCACUCCAACCGGACACCACCUUUACCCGAGUGAUACUGACCUGCAUUUUUCGGUUGGGGCGACCCUGGAGAACAACAAAUCCUCCAAGCAUAAGANCACCACUCCUAACCAAGAACAACCAAUCAACGUACUAACAGUGACCAGACCCAAUAUGAUUGACCAACGGACCAAGCUACCCCAGGGAUAACAGCGCAAUCUCCUUCAAGAGCCCCCAUCGACAAGGAGGUUUACGACCUCGAUGUUGGAUCAGGACAUCCUAGUG
rnacentral:rRNA from 1 species